rnacentral:rRNA from 1 species
UGCCAGCCGCCGCGGUAAGACGGGAGGGGGUUAGCGUUGUUCGGAAUUACUGGACGUAAAGCGCGCGUAGGCGGAUUGGAAAGUUGGGGGUGAAAAUCCGGGGCUCAACCCCGGAACUGCCUCCAAAACUGCCAGUCUAGGGUUCGAGAGAGGUGAGUGGAACUCCAAGUGUAGAGGUGAAAUUCGUAGAUAUUAGAAAGAACACCAAAUGCGAAGGCAACUUACUGGGUCACUACUGACACUGAGGAGCGAAAGCAUGGGUAGCGAAGAGGAUUAGAUA